rnacentral:tRNA from 1 species
AAUAAAGUGCCUGUUAAAGGAUUAUUUUGAUAGGAUAAAUUAUGUAACCUAUAGUUACCUUUAUUA